GCCUCGGUGGUUUAGUGGUACAGCACGCGUCCCUGGUAUGGAUGGAACACGAGUUCGAUUCCCGCCUGAGGUC